rnacentral:tRNA from 1 species
GAGGCCAUAGCUCAAGUGAUAGAGCGCAUGCUUAGCAUGCAUGAGGUCCUGGGUUCAAUCCCUAGUGUCUCCU